CACAUGCAAGUCGCACGAGAAAGGGCUUCGGCCCCGGUAAAGUGGCGCACGGGUGAGUAACACGUGGGCAACCUGCCCAACCCUGGGGGAUAACCUGCCGAAAGGCGGGCUAAUACCGCGUACGAGGGCUCGACUUCGGUCGGGUUCUGAAAGCAGGCCUCUGAAUUCAAGCUUGUGGGGUUGGAUGGGCCCGCGGUCCAUCAGCUAGUUGGUGAGGUAAUGGCUCACCAAGGCAACGACGGAUAGCUGGUCUGAGAGGAUGAUCAGCCACACUGGAACUGAGACACGGUCCAGACUCCUACGGGAGGCAGCAGUGGGGAAUCUUGCGCAAUGGACGAAAGUCUGACGCAGCGACGCCGCGUGGGUGACGAAGGCCUUCGGUUGUAAGCCUGUGGGCGGAGACGAAC
rnacentral:rRNA from 1 species